GACGAACGCUGGCGGCGUGCUUAACACAUGCAAGUCGAACGGAAAGGCCCUGCUUUUGUGGGGUGCUCGAGUGGCGAACGGGUGAGUAACACGUGAGUAACCUGCCCUUGACUUUGGGAUAACUUCAGGAAACUGGGGCUAAUACCGGAUAGGAGCUCCUGCUGCAUGGUGGGGGUUGGAAAGUUUCGGCGGUUGGGGAUGGACUCGCGGCUUAUCAGCUUGUUGGUGGGGUAGUGGCUUACCAAGGCUUUGACGGGUAGCCGGCCUGAGAGGGUGACCGGCCACAUUGGGACUGAGAUACGGCCCAGACUCCUACGGGAGGCAGCAGUGGGGAAUAUUGCGCAAUGGGCGGAAGCCUGAUGCAGCAACGCCGCGUGCGAGAUGACGGCCUUAGGGUUGUAAACCGCUUUCGCCUGUGACGAAGCGUGAGUGACGGUAAUGGGUAAAGAAGCACCGGCUAACUACGUG
rnacentral:rRNA from 1 species